GACGUGCUAAUCUGCGAUAAGCGUCGGUGAGGUGAUAUGAACCGUUAUAACCGGCGAUUUCCGAAUGGGGAAACCCAGUGUGUUUCGACACACUAUCAUUAACUGAAUCCAUAGGUUAAUGAGGCGAACCGGGGGAACUGAAACAUCUAAGUACCCCGAGGAAAAGAAAUCAACCGAGAUUCCCCCAGUAGCGGCGAGCGAACGGGGAGGAGCCCAGAGCCUGAAUCAGUGUGUGUGUUAGUGGAAGCGUCUGGAAAGGCGCGCGAUACAGGGUGACAGCCCCGUACACAAAAAUGCACAUACUGUGAGCUCGAUGAGUAGGGCGGGACACGUGGUAUCCUGUCUGAAUAUGGGGGGACCAUCCUCCAAGGCUAAAUACUCCUGACUGACCGAUAGUGAACCAGUACCGUGAGGGAAAGGCGAAAAGAACCCCGGCGAGGGGAGUGAAAAAGAACCUGAAACCGUGUACGUACAAGCAGUGGGAGCCUCUUAAUGGGGUGACUGCGUACCUUUUGUAUAAUGGGUCAGCGACUUAUAUUCUGUAGCAAGGUUAACCGAAUAGGGGAGCCGAAGGGAAACCGAGUCUUAACUGGGCGUUAAGUUGCAGGGUAUAGACCCGAAACCCGGUGAUCUAGCCAUGGGCAGGUUGAAGGUUGGGUAACACUAACUGGAGGACCGAACCGACUAAUGUUGAAAAAUUAGCGGAUGACUUGUGGCUGGGGGUGAAAGGCCAAUCAAACCGGGAGAUAGCUGGUUCUCCCCGAAAGCUAUUUAGGUAGCGCCUCGUGAAUUCAUCUCCGGGGGUAGAGCACUGUUUCGGCAAGGGGGUCAUCCCGACUUACCAACCCGAUGCAAACUGCGAAUACCGGAGAAUGUUAUCACGGGAGACACACGGCGGGUGCUAACGUCCGUCGUGAAGAGGGAAACAACCCAGACCGCCAGCUAAGGUCCCAAAGUCAUGGUUAAGUGGGAAACGAUGUGGGAAGGCCCAGACAGCCAGGAUGUUGGCUUAGAAGCAGCCAUCAUUUAAAGAAAGCGUAAUAGCUCACUGGUCGAGUCGGCCUGCGCGGAAGAUGUAACGGGGCUAAACCAUGCACCGAAGCUGCGGCAGCGACACUAUGUGUUGUUGGGUAGGGGAGCGUUCUGUAAGCCUGUGAAGGUGUACUGUGAGGUAUGCUGGAGGUAUCAGAAGUGCGAAUGCUGACAUAAGUAACGAUAAAGCGGGUGAAAAGCCCGCUCGCCGGAAGACCAAGGGUUCCUGUCCAACGUUAAUCGGGGCAGGGUGAGUCGACCCCUAAGGCGAGGCCGAAAGGCGUAGUCGAUGGGAAACAGGUUAAUAUUCCUGUACUUGGUGUUACUGCGAAGGGGGGACGGAGAAGGCUAUGUUGGCCGGGCGACGGUUGUCCCGGUUUAAGCGUGUAGGCUGGUUUUCCAGGCAAAUCCGGAAAAUCAAGGCUGAGGCGUGAUGACGAGGCACUACGGUGCUGAAGCGACAAAUGCCCUGCUUCCAGGAAAAG
rnacentral:rRNA from 1 species